rnacentral:tRNA from 1 species
GGGCUAUUAGCUCAGUUGGAUAGAGCGUUGGCCUCCGGAGCCAAAGGCCACAGGUUCGAAUCCUGUAUAGCCCG